CCUAAGAACCUCUGGAGGGGGCUGGGCUGGGGGGGAAACCAGGGUGAGCCUCCCACUUGAGACCACUCGUUCUAAGGCCAAGGAAGGCCUGGGUGUCCCCUCAGGAGAUGGCAGCUUCCUUUUUCCAUCCACACCCUGGGUGGAGGUGGGCAGCUGGGCAUUUGAAAUGGGGGCCAGGCUGUGGAUUACACGUAGAAUCUAGGGUCCAGAACCCAGACUUUCUGCGCUCUGCCCCCUCAACUCCAUCACUUUAGUACGGAGAAGUUAGUCUCAUCUUGACUGGUGAAGCACAUGAGUUGAUCACUCCCGUGAAGGUCACAUCCCACCUCCACCUCCAGCAAGUACCCUUUCCUGAAUCACUGAGACCUGAAUUUGGACCCGUUUCCUCCAUCUGGUAGGCAGAUGACUCUGGAGAGUCAGGUAACACACUUGGGUCUCAGCACCUUCUGGAAUGCUUAGUCACAAAUGCUGCAGAGAUUAAAUGCGGAUAUGUAUGUAAAGUACCUAACAGUGUCGGUCCCAUAAUAGGUGCUCAAAAUGGACAAGUGUCAUUAUUUAUUGUUACUUAGGCAUAGGCUAAUUCUGAGUUCUGAACCAACUGUUUCAUCAGCUCACAGUGUGGUCCUGACAAGCCACUUCCCUUCAGCCUCAGUUUCCUCCAUAAAACCAAAGGAUGGAUUAGAAUGAUCUUAACUGUCCUUCCAGGGCUAACGUUGCCCGAUUCUAGAUUCCCAGAAAAGGACAGAAGGGAAGCAAAGAUAGUCACAAAAAAUAAGACGCUAAAAGGAAUUACAGGUGUCACAGGACACAAGAGGAGCCAGGCUGAAGGGUUCCUGGUGGCCAAAUCGGGCAGUUUGAGCAUCAAAAUAAUUAGGUACUGUAAUGAAUUAAAACCAUUACAAAAACAGUAACUCAAAGUCGGAAGUAAAUGAGAUCGUGAGGAGGGCUCUUGCUUGUACCAGAAUGCCGAGGGCCAGACGGUUAAAUGUGGAAUGAGUGCUGAAGUCGGAAAAUCGUGAUUUUCACAGUAAAGAUUCCAUCAGUGGGUGCUAAAUCCAGGGAGAAAUUUUGAUGAAGAGCAGAACAUUUGCAUUGUCUUCAAGAGUCUCCCCAUGGACUGCUUACAAGUUACAAGGUAGAAAAAAACCCAACCAAACAAAACCCAGUAAUUACGAAGUGGAGAAACGGGGCAGGGUCUUCACUGACUGAUCAAAAUUAACAUCGCCAAUAAGGGACAGAUGGAUAGCACACGCCUUCAGAUGUGAUACCCUGAAGGAGACACAUCACCGAAGUCACGUAGGAUCCAUGAAAAACCAGGGAAGUCUAAGAACUGGCCUACACCACAGAAGCCUGGAGAGCCGUGACGACUCAGUGCUGAGCGUGUGGUGCCACGGAAGUGAGGAUGCAGAGGAAGAAGGAUGAAGGAAGGGGAGAAGAAUAUUCUUUGAGUACCAGCUGUGUUCCAGGCACUGUUCUAGGUGCUGGGAGGUCAAUCGUUGUCCACACGGAAGUUGCUGGGGGGAAGGGCUGCCUGACAAAAGCAAACCAAUAGAGAAGUACACGAUGAUUCCAGGCCACAUCCCCAUCCUGACCUGGUACUUCCUGUGACCACCAACAGGCUGGAAUUCUGGGCUCAUCCCGAGACCAGGGUUCAAGAAACUGGCUGCUCAGAGCCUCAGACUGUACCGCCACCCCACGCCCAUGGGGAGGUCUCCCGUGUGGCCAGCCUGCCGGCAAGGGACAGGAUGCAGGACUUUCUGCAAAGUUCUCUCCUCUGUGACCUCUUGUGGGAUCGAAAGUAAGGCCACCAAUAGUGGGACACUAGACAUCUCACUCACUCGGCCUGGAGGGCUGCUCCGACAAGGACACAGCAUGUCGUCCGUGCUACGCCUGCUAAAAACACUUACCGUCAAUUUAAUCAGGCGGAAACAGCAGACAGACCCAAAUUGAGGGAUGUCCUGCAAGACGACUGGCCUGGGCUUGCAAAUUUGUAAACAAGAAGUUUGGAGGAAAGCCCUGCGGGGCUGUCAUUGGAAGCCUCCAGUGUGCCUCCCCAAGGCCUGGGGCGCAAGCCCGGAGUCAUAGGCUCAAGGGGAGUCUCCCACACACCCUCUGCCUGAUUACAGUUCACACUCCGCAUGCCCCAUGGGGCCCUCUGUGUUCCCUACGGUCUAGAGGCCAGCACAUAUGUAUUCAGCACCCACCCCCUGCCAGCACCCACUCCCCCCCUCCCUAGACGAGGCGCGGACACCUGAAGACGGGGUCCCUGCGUUUCCAGUGCACACGGUUCAUGGGAGUCAGCUCGCAUCACUGCAGAGUCUGUUGUGGCUACAGGACCCAAAGACUCACAGCCAGAUUGCAGGGGUCCAGGGCAAGGCGGAAGCAGACGUUGUCACGGCGGCAGCUCUGUGAACUGGGAGCUCUGGGUGUUACAGUGUCACCUCCUCACAGUGGCUGACCACGCGGGAGGGAUGUUCUGCUCGUGUGU